CAAUAGCGUAUAUUAAAGUUGUUGCGGUUAAAAAAGCUCGUAGUUGGAUUUCUGUCCGAGGCAGCCGGUCCGCACCUGGUGCGUGUAUCUGGUUUGGCUAGGGCAUCCUCUUGGGGAACGUCUCUGUGCUUGAUUGCAUGGGGCGGAAUUCAAGACUUUUACUUUGAGGAAAUUAGAGUGUUCACGGCAAGCUAUCGCUUUGAAUACAUUAGCAUGGAAUAAUAAUAUAGGACCUUUGUUCUAUUUUGUUGGUUUCUAGAGCGAAGGUAAUGAUUAAUAGGGAUAAUUGGGGGGCAUUUGUAUUAACGCGUCAGAGGUGGAAUUCUUGGAUUGCGUUACGACAAACUACUGCGAAAGCAUUUGCCAAGGAUGUUUUCAUUGAUCAAGAACGAAAGUUAGGGGAUCGAAGACGAUUAGAU
rnacentral:rRNA from 1 species